AACGCUAGCUACAGGCUUAACACAUGCAAGUCGAGGGGAAACGAUAUUGGAAGCUUGCUUCCGAUAGGCGGCGACCGGCGCACGGGUGAGUAACACGUAUCCAACCUGCCGUCUACUCUUGGACAGCCUUCUGAAAGGAAGAUUAAUACAAGAUGGCAUCAUGAGUCCGCAUGUUCACAUGAUUAAAGGUAUUCCGGUAGACGAUGGGGAUGCGUUCCAUUAGAUAGUAGGCGGGGUAACGGCCCACCUAGUCUUCGAUGGAUAGGGGUUCUGAGAGGAAGGUCCCCCACAUUGGAACUGAGACACGGUCCAAACUCCUACGGGAGGCAGCAGUGAGGAAUAUUGGUCAAUGGGCGAGAGCCUGAACCAGCCAAGUAGCGUGCAGGAAGACGGCCCUAUGGGUUGUAAACUGCUUUUAUAGGGGAAUAAAGUGAGCCACGCGUGGUUUUUUGCAUGUACCCUAUGAAUAAGGACCGGCUAAUUCCGUGCCAGCAGCCGCGGUAAUACGGAAGGUCCGGGCGUUAUCCGGAUUUAUUGGGUUUAAAGGGAGCGUAGGCCGGAGAUUAAGCGUGUUGUGAAAUGUAGAUGCUCAACAUCUGCACUGCAGCGCGAACUGGUUUCCUUGAGUACGCAUAAAGUGGGCGGAAUUCGUGGUGUAGCGGUGAAAUGCUUAGAUAUCACGAAGAACUCCGAUUG
rnacentral:rRNA from 1 species